CAGUCGCCGCGGUAAAACGUAGGUGGCAAGCGUUGUCCGGAAUUAUUGGGCGUAAAGGGCUCGCAGGCGGUUUCUUAAGUCUGAUGUGAAAGCCCCCGGCUCAACCGGGGAGGGUCAUUGGAAACUGGGAAACUUGAGUGCAGAAGGGGAGAGUGGAAUUCCACGUGUAGCGGUGAAAUGCGUAGAGAUGUGGAGGAACACCAGUGGCGAAGGCGACUCUCUGGUCUGUAACUGACGCUGAGGAGCGAAAGCGUGGGGAGCGAACAGGAUUAGAUACCCCUGUAGUCCCUGUCUCUUAUAC
rnacentral:rRNA from 1 species